AGGGUUUGAUCCUGGCUCAGAAUGAACGUUGGCGGCGUGGAUUAGGCAUGCAAGUCGAGCGAGAUACCGUUUAUUGAAGCUUCGGUUGAUUUAAACGGUGGAAAGCGGCGAAAGGGAGAGUAACGCGUAGAUACGUACCUUUGGGUUCGGGAUAGCCACGGGAAACUGUGGGUAAUACCGAAUAAUGUCUCCGGACCAAAGAUUUAUUGCCCGAAGACCGGUCUGCGUCCUAUUAGCUAGUUGGCGAGGUAAUGGCUCACCAAGGCAAAGAUGGGUAGCGGGCGUGAGAGCGUGGCCCGUCUCACUGGACUGAGAUACUGCCCAGACACCUACGGGUGGCUGCAGUCGAGGAUCUUCCGCAAUGGGCGAAAGCCUGACGGAGCGACGCCGCGUGCGGGAUGAAGGCUUUCGGGUUGUAAACCGCUGUCAGAGGGGAGCAAAAUUUGAGCGAUCCUCAAAGGAAGCGCAGGCUAAGUUCGUGCCAGCAGCCGCGGUAAUACGAACUGCGCGAACGUUAUUCGGAAUCACUGGGCUUAAAGAGUUCGUAGGCGGCUAUGUAGGUCAGGUGUGAAAUCCCACAGCUCAACUGUGGAACUGCGCUUGAAACCACAUGGCUUGAGGGAGAUGGAGGUAAGCGGAACUGAUGGUGGAGCGGUGAAAUGCGUUGAUAUCAUCAGGAACACCGGUGGCGAAGGCGGCUUACUGGGUCUUUUCUGACGCAGAGGAACGAAAGCUAGGGGAGCGAACGGGAUUAGAUACCCCGGUAGUCCUAGCUGUAAACGAUGAGCACUAGUUUGAGGGCCCUUCCACAAGCCCUCGAACGUAGCGAAAGUGUUAAGUGCUCCGCCUGGGGAGUAUGGCCGCAAGGCUGAAACUCAAAGGAAUUGACGGGGGCUCACACAAGCGGUGGAGGAUGUGGCUUAAUUCGAGCCUACGCGAAGAACCUUACCCAGACUUAACAUGCUUGGGAAACUCUAUGAAAGUAGAGAGUGCCUUUCGGGGAGCCCUUGCGUAGGUGCUGCAUGGCUGUCGUCAGCUCGUGUCGUGAGAUGUCGCGUUAAGUCGCUUAACGAGCGAAACCCUUGUCCUUAGUUGCCAGCGAGUCAUGUCGGGGACUCUAAGGAGACUGCCGGUGUUAAACCGGAGGAAGGUGGGGAUGACGUCAAGUCCUCAUGGCCUUUAUGUCUGGGGCUGCACACGUCCUACAAUGCGGCGUACAAAGGGAUGCGAUAUCGCGAGAUCAAGCAAAUCCCAAAAAACGUCGCUCAGUUCGGAUUGCAGGCUGAAAUUCGCCUGCAUGAAGCUGGAAUCGCUAGUAAUCGCGGGUCAGCAUACCGCGGUGAAUGUGUUCCUGAGCCUUGUACACACCGCCCGUCAAGCCACGAAAGUUGGGAGGGCCCGAAGUCGCGAAGCUAACCCUCGGGAGGCUAGCGCCGAAGGUCAACUCGAUGAUUGGGACUAAGUCGGAACAAGGUA
rnacentral:rRNA from 1 species